rnacentral:tRNA from 1 species
GUCUCUGUGGCGAAAUUGGUUAGCGUGUUCGACUGUUAAUUGAAAGGUUGGUGGUUCAAGCCCACCCAGGGACG